rnacentral:rRNA from 1 species
GAUUACCUCAGUAACGGCGAGUGAAGCGGUAACAGCUCAAAUUUGAAAUCUGGCUCCUGCGGAGUCCGAGUUGUAAUUUGUAGAAGAUGCUUUGGGAGGUAGGCUCGGCCUAAGUUCCUUGGAACAGGACAUCAGAGAGGGUGAGAAUCCCGUAUGUGGCCGUGGCCUACGCCCGUGUAAAGCUCUUUCGACGAGUCGAGUUGUUUGGGAAUGCAGCUCAAAAUGGGUGGUAAAUUUCAUCUAAAGCUAAAUAUUGGCCAGAGACCGAUAGCGCACAAGUAGAGUGAUCGAAAGAUGAAAAGCACUUUGGAAAGAGAGUUAAACAGUACGUGAAAUUGUUGAAAGGGAAGCGCUUGCACCCAGACUUGGGCGUCGUCGAUCAUCCGAGGUUCUCCUCGGUGCACUCGGCGAGGCACAGGCCAGCAUCGGUUUGGAUGGUUGGAGAAAGGCUCUAGGAACGUAGCUCUCUUCGGGGAGUGUUAUAGCCUAGGGCGUAAUGCAGCCCAUCUGGACCGAGGACCGCGCCUUCGGGCUAGGAUGCUGGCGUAAUGGUUGCAAGCGACC